UACGUAGGGUCCGAGCGUUGUCCGGAGUUACUGGGCGUAAAGCGCGCGCAGGCGGCGGUGUUGGCCCGGCGUGAAAGCCCCCGGCUCAACCGGGGAGAGUCGUCGGGGACCGCACCGCUUGAGGGCGGUAGGGGCCGGUGGAAUGCCUGGUGUAGUGGUGAAAUGCGUAGAGAUCAGGCAGAACACCUGGUGCGAAGGCGGCCGGCUGGGCCGUCCCUGACGCUGAGGCGCGAAGGCGUGGGGAGCGAACGGG
rnacentral:rRNA from 1 species